rnacentral:rRNA from 1 species
AACCUGGUUGAUCCUGCCAGUAGUCAUAUGCUUGUCUUAAGGAUUAAGCCAUGCAUGUCUCAGUACAAACGAUUUUGUACAGUGAAACUGCGAAUGGCUCAUUACAACAGUUAUAGUUUAUUUGAUCGUGCGGCGCUACGUGGAUAACCGUAGGAAUUCUAGAGCUAAUACAUGCACCAUUGCUUUUUCUUUUUAUAAAUAACUUUUUUAAAAGUUGGUUAUAA